CAAGGAAUGCCGCCAACCUCGUCCCCUCGAGUUCAGAUUAAAUGGUAGUCAGUAAUUCAGUUACACACGCGUUCGUAAUACAAGGAGUUGAUCGAAACAGGUUCAAUUAAAAUCCAUCGGAUCCGCUUCAACGUUCAUAUCCGUACAAGACGCAUACCGAAAACUGACAAGAUUUAUAUCACAUCUUUUACUCGAACGUUGCUGCACAGGCAAUAAAAUGAAGACUAUUUGCGAAAGGGCAACGUCCUGACAUGGCCCCGCGGAGUUCAUUUCCCCGGUCUUCUCCUGUCUUCUUUCUAUACUUCGCUCCGGUAUACAUAAGUGAAUUUCGGUCUCAUGCUAAUUGGGAUGCGGAGAUGAAGUGGAGGAUUGAUUAACUGCAG
rnacentral:lncRNA from 1 species